CCCUCGGAGAGUUAUAUCAAACAAAAGUAGCUUUUAGCAAAAUUGGACUCAUUGAACAGGGAA
rnacentral:sRNA from 12 species